rnacentral:rRNA from 1 species
UACAGAGGUGGCAAGCGUUGUUCGGAAUUACUGGGCGUAAAGCGCGCGUAGGCGGUUUGAUAAGUUGGAAGUGAAAUCCCGGGGCUCAACUUCGGAAUUGCUUUCAAAACUAUCAAGCUAGAGUAUGGCAGGGGACAGUGGAAUUCCUAGUGUAGAGGUGAAAUUCGUAGAUAUUAGGAGGAACACCAGUGGCGAAAGCGACUGUCUGGACCAUUACUGACGCUGAGGCGCGAAAGCGUGGGGAGCAAACAGG